UCUGAGGGAACCAGGACAAACAGGACGACAACAUAAUCUGAGAUGGACAAUCAGAAGAGGACAAGCAAUGUUUGUAUUUCUCGCCAUGCAAUAUUUUAUUGAAGUCAAACCCAUUAUUAUUUUCGCUGUAUAUGUGUCUUUUGAAUUGCCAGACUGAGGGUAAAAGGACUUUUAUACGUUCCUCCCGAACGGAAAGAGGCUCUUAUGGUUGACAAGGCCAUUCAUCUGUGUGACGUACAGCACGGAGCUGUUGAAGACAAUGUGAAUGUCAUCAGCCUUUCUACAGUGCACCUAUUUAUUUACCUUCUAACGCAAAGAUCGCUAAUGCACGUAAAUCCAUCGCUUACAAACACCUUCUUCUGAUCUGUUUCACUUAAAGGGAUAGUUUGAAAUUGGACUUGAUGGAGAUGAAGCUUGGUUCAAUCUGAAGCAGAGGAGAAGCAGAGACCCUGAUCAGCAUGUGGGGCAGCACGAGCCUUCGUGCAGCCGUACGCUCCCCCUUUCCUCAACUCAAUAUAGGAUUGUUUUUCUCUGCAUGCCGGUGAAAGUUCUAUGACCGGAGAGAACACCUGGGAAAACCUCCAACAGGCACUAGACCUGACCUGCAGUGACACAGGUGUAGAGUCUUGUCAAGGCUGGAUCCGGCACACCAGAGGGUUUAUCCCCCGUCGCCUGGAAAAAGAGACCUUUGCCUGAGAAGAGAUGCUGAGGCAGAGUGAAUCCCUCGUCCGCAUCACUGUAUUACCUGCAGAAGUCUCACUACACAAUAUGCUCCGAGACGAAGACUUCGAGGACAGAUAAAAUUGUCUCAAGAAGUUAAACCAAGCACCGCCAUCUCGCCCUGGUGACGUCACUCGGAGUCAGCAGUGAUCAGCUGGUGGAGCUAAAUUAACACGGUCGAUCUUGAUCACUAACUUCCUUUUAAUAGGACCAAAUAACAGACUUAAACCCAAAUUAUCAGAAAAGGGACACUUGAACAUACAUCAGUGUGAUAAAAACUACCUCAAGUGACAGACACCAUCUUUGGGAAACAUUUAUUUUUAGCCCCAUGUCAGAUCCGCAAACAUGGACGGGGCAGGAUUUAUAACCCAGAUCCAGCCACAUCGGUUUGAUCAACAUCUUCCGGCUUCACUUCUGGGGACGCUGUCAUGUCAUCCAUCUUUAUACACAGCGAUCAGCCAAAACAUUAAAAAAGGACUGACAGGUGAAGUGAACAGAAUUGAUCAUCUUGUUACAAUGAGAUGUUCUCCUGGGGAAAAUCGUUGGUGCUGGCAUUCACGUGGAGGCCAUUUGAUAUGCAACGCCUUUUCCAAACACUGCUGAAGUCCAAGUGCCCCACACACCCACACACACACACACACACACACACACAUACACAGCAACAGCACUCCCAUAUAUUGACCCCUCCAGCAGGAUCUGACACCACAUUACUCAGGAAUGGUGUGAGGAUCGUGACAAACAGCAUUGACUGGGCCUCCAGUUUCCCCUGAUCCCAAUCAGAUCCACAGGAGUCACAGGGUCUCACGGCACCAGACACCACAGGACGCCCCUGAAGCUAACCCUGCAUACGA